GUUAGCGGCGGACGGGUGAGUAACACGUGGAUAACCUACCUAUAAGACUGGGAUAACUUCGGGAAACCGGAGCUAAUACCGGAUAACAUGUUGAACCGCNNGUUCAACAGUGAAAGACGGUCUUGCUGUCACUUAUAGAUGGAUCCGCGCCGCNNAGCUAGUUGGUAAGGUAACGGCUUACCAAGGCAACGAUGCGUAGCCGACCUGAGAGGGUGAUCGGCCACACUGGAACUGAGACACGGUCCAGACUCCUACGGGAGGCAGCAGUAGGGAAUCUUCCGCAAUGGGCGAAAGCCUGACGGAGCAACGCCGCGUGAGUGAAGAAGGUCUUCGGAUCGUAAAACUCUGUUAUUAGGGAAGAACAAAUGUGUAAGUAACUAUGCACGUCUUGACGGUACCUAAUCAGAAAGCCACGGCUAACUACGUGCCAGCAGCCGCGGUAAUACGUAGGUGGCAAGCGUUAUCCGGAAUUAUUGGGCGUAAAGCGCGCGUAGGCGGUUUUUUAAGUCUGAUGUGAAAGCCCACGGCUCAACCGUGGAGGGUCAUUGGAAACUGGAAAACUUGAGUGCAGAAGAGGAAAGUGGAAUUCCAUGUGUAGCGGUGAAAUGCGCAGAGAUAUGGAGGAACACCAGUGGCGAAGGCGACUUUCUGGUCUGUAACUGACGCUGAUGUGCGAAAGCGUGGGGAUCAAACAGGAUUAGAUACCCUGGUAGUCCACGCCGUAAACGAUGAGUGCUAAGUGUUAGGGGGUUUCCGCCCCUUAGUGCUGCAGCUAACGCAUUAAGCACUCCGCCUGGGGAGUACGACCGCAAGGUUGAAACUCAAAGGAAUUGACGGGGACCCGCACNGCGGUGGANCNUGUGGUUUANUUCGAAGCAACGCGAAGAACCUUACCAAAUCUUGACAUCCUCUGACCCCUCNAGAGAUAGAGUUUUCCCCUUCGGGGGACAGAGUGACAGGUGGUGCAUGGUUGUCGUCAGCUCGUGUCGUGAGAUGUUGGGUUAAGUCCCGCAACGAGCGCAACCCUUAAGCUUAGUUGCCAUCAUUAAGUUGGGCACUCUAAGUUGACUGCCGGUGACAAACCGGAGGAAGGUGGGGAUGACGUCAAAUCAUCAUGCCCCUUAUGAUUUGGGCUACACACGUGCUACAAUGGACAAUACAAAGGGUAGCGAAACCGCGAGGUCAAGCAAAUCCCAUAAAGUUGUUCUCAGUUCGGAUUGUAGUCUGCAACUCGACUACAUGAAGCUGGAAUCGCUAGUAAUCGUAGAUCAGCAUGCUACGGUGAAUACGUUCCCGGGUCUUGUACACACCGCCCGUCACACCACGAGAGUUUGUAACACCCGAAGCCGGUGGA
rnacentral:rRNA from 1 species